AUUCUGACCCUGAGAGCACCUGGCAGGUAUGUGGAAAAAAGAAAUGUGCAUUAAAACAGACCAGGUUACAUCACAAUUUUUAAAAUUUCACUGUGGAAAAAGUUACAAAUGAAUGUAAACUUACUAGAAGUUAGAAAGAUAUAAUACUUCCAAGCCAGACACAGAGGAAAAUACAUCUAUUUCCUAUCACUAAAUACUUACAAGAAGAAAAAGAUAAAGAAAAAGAAAGAGCCAAUGGAUGUAGGAAGCUUUGGGGCCUCUCCUCUGCAGCUUAUCUGAGAGAUACUGCUUCCCGCAAACAGUUUGCCUCUGUGAUUCCUUAUUCACCUCUACCUUUUCCAUGAGAUUGAGAACACUAUAAGAAAGCCUAAAAAUGCUAUGGUUGCACAUACAGAAAAAUCCAAGACCUCAGAGACUUCCUCCCAUCACUCUUUGAUGUAACUGAUUUCUCCCCAUCAGUAUCCUGAUCAUCUGGUUCCUUCAUUUCCUCUGAUCCAAGGAUGACCCACCAGCAGGAGGGUGCAACUACCACCAGAGACCUCUGACCUCUUCAAGACAGCUAAUUAUAAUCACAGGUUCUCUUUCUCUAGGUAAAUUGUCAUUGUGGUGCACUUUGGUUUUCCAGAGGUCCACCACCAAAGUUCAUCUUUUCCCCAAAUGCUUCAUCAUUAAAAUUAACCUUCUGCUAUCCUA
rnacentral:antisense_RNA from 1 species